UUGAUGGAGAGUUUGAUCCUGGCUCAGGACGAACGCUGGCGGCGGGCUUAACACAUGCAAGUCGAACGAGGUCCAUUCUGUAGCAAUACAGAGGAAGACCUAGUGGCGAACGGGUGAGGAACACGUGAGGAACCUGCCCCGAACUUUGGGAUAACAGUUGGAAACGACUGCUAAUACCGAAUGCCGUUACGAAGUGGCAUCACUUUGUAACGAAAGAAUUUCGGUUCGGGAGGGCCUCGCGGCCUAUCAGCUAGUUGGUGGGGUAAUGGCCUACCAAGGCAUCGACGGGUAGCUGGUCUGAGAGGAUGAUCAGCCACACUGGGACUGAGACACGGCCCAGACUCCUACGGGAGGCAGCAGUGGGGAAUCUUGUGCAAUGGGCGCAAGCCUGACACAGCAACGCCGCGUGCGGGAAGAAGGCCUUCGGGUCGUAAACCGCUUUCAGCAGGAACGAAAAUGACGGUACCUGCAGAAGAAGAUGCGGCCAACUACGUGCCAGCAGCCGC
rnacentral:rRNA from 1 species